rnacentral:misc_RNA from 1 species
GAAAUGCGAUAAGUAAUGUGAAUUGCAGAAUUCAGUGAAGCAUCGAAUCUUUGAACGCACAUUGCGCCCGCCAGUAUUCUGGCGGGCAUGCCUGUUCGAGCGUCAUUUCAACCAUCAAGCCCCGGGCUUGUGUUGGGGACCUGCGGCUGCCGCAGGCCCUGAAAAACAGUGGCGGGCUCGCUGUCACACCGCGCGGCGUAGAUUCACAUCUCGAUCAGGGCGUGCUCCGGGUUCCGGCCGUAAAACAGCCUUAUUUUGCCCAAGCGUGACCUCGGAUCAGGUAGGAAGACCCGCUGAACUUAA